rnacentral:rRNA from 1 species
UACGGGGGGGGCAAGCGUUGUUCGGAAUUACUGGGCGUAAAGGGCGCGUAGGUGGCCAACUAAGUCAGACGUGAAAUCCCUCGGCUUAACCGGGGAACUGCGUCUGAUACUGGAUGGCUUGAGUUUGGGAGAGGGACGCGGAAUUCCAGGUGUAGCGGUGAAAUGCGUAGAUAUCUGGGGGAACACCGGUGGCGAAGGCGGCAUCCUGGACCGGUAUUGACGCUGAGGCGCGAAAGCCAGGGGAGCAAACGGG